rnacentral:tRNA from 1 species
GGCUCGUUGGUCUAGGGGUAUGAUUCUCGCUUAGGGUGCGAGAGGUCCAGAAUUCAAAUCCUGGAAGAGCCC